rnacentral:rRNA from 1 species
UACGUAGGGUGCAAGCGUAAUCGGAAUUACUGGGCGUAAAGCGUGCGCAGGCGGUUUUGUAAGUCUGUCGUGGAAUCCCCGGGCUCAACCUGGGAAUUGCGAUGGAGACUGCAAGGCUAGAAUCUGGCAGAGGGGGGUAGAAUUCCACGUGUAGCAGUGAAAUGCGUAGAGAUGUGGAGGAACACCGAUGGCGAAGGCAGCCCCCUGGGUCAAGAUUGACGCUCAUGCACGAAAGGCGUUGGGGAGCAAACAGG